AAUCAACGCUGGCGGCGUGCCUAACACAUGCAAGUCGAACGAGAAAGGGGAGCAAUCCCUGAGUACAGUGGCGCACGGGUGAGUAACACGUGACUAACCUACCUGGAGUGGGAAUAACUGAGGGAAACCUUAGCUAAUACCGCAUAACACCUACGGGUCAAAGGAGCAAUUCGCUUCAGGAGGGGGUCGCGGCCGAUUAGCUAGUUGGCGGGUAAUGGCCCACCAAGGCAAUGAUCGGUAUCCGGCCUGAGAGGGCGCACGGACACACUGGAACUGAAACACGGUCCAGACUCCUACGGGAGGCAGCAGUGGGGAAUUUUGCGCAAUGGGGGAAACCCUGACGCAGCAACGCCGCGUGGAGGAUGAAGUCCCUUGGGACGUAAAC
rnacentral:rRNA from 1 species